GGAGACGUGUCAGAGUGGUCUAUUGUACCUCUUUGCUAAAGAGGCAGGGGGUAACUCCCCUCGGAGGUUCGAAUCCUCCCGUCUCCGCCA
rnacentral:tRNA from 1 species